rnacentral:misc_RNA from 1 species
UCUCCGUUGGUGAACCAGCGGAGGGAUCAUUACCGAAGUUACCUUCAAAACCCACUGUGAACCUUACCUCUUGCCGCGUUGUCUCGGUGGGAGGCGGUGUGCGUCGCGCGCCCUAGCGGGCCGCGCCGCUCCCGUCCCCGCCGGCAGCGCCAAACUCUAAAUGCACAGCGGACUGUACGUUCUGAUUUACAAAAAAAAACAAGUUAAAACUUUCAACAACGGAUCUCUUGGUUCUG